rnacentral:rRNA from 1 species
UACAGAGGGGGCAAGCGUUGUUCGGAAUUACUGGGCGUAAAGGGCGCGUAGGCGGCCUUCUAAGUCGAACGUGAAAUCCCCGGGCUCAACCCGGGAACUGCGUCCGAUACUGGAAGGCUUGAAUCCGGGAGAGGGAUGCGGAAUUCCAGGUGUAGCGGUGAAAUGCGUAGAUAUCUGGAGGAACACCGGUGGCGAAGGCGGCAUCCUGGGACCGGCAUUGACGCUGAGGCGCGAAA